GGGUUGUGAGGUUAAGCGACUAAGCGUACACGGUGGAUGCCCUGGCAGUCAGAGGCGAUGAAGGACGUGCUAAUCUGCGAUAAGCGUCGGUAAGGUGAUAUGAACCGUUAUAACCGGCGAUUUCCGAAUGGGGAAACCCAGUGUGAUUCGUCACACUAUCAUUAACUGAAUCCAUAGGUUAAUGAGGCGAACCGGGGGAACUGAAACAUCUAAGUACCCCGAGGAAAAGAAAUCAACCGAGAUUCCCCCAGUAGCGGCGAGCGAACGGGGAGGAGCCCAGAGCCUGAAUCAGUGUGUGUGUUAGUGGAAGCGUCUGGAAAGGCGCGCGAUACAGGGUGACAGCCCCGUACACAAAAAUGCACAUGCUGUGAGCUCGAUGAGUAGGGCGGGACACGUGGUAUCCUGUCUGAAUAUGGGGGGACCAUCCUCCAAGGCUAAAUACUCCUGACUGACCGAUAGUGAACCAGUACCGUGAGGGAAAGGCGAAAAGAACCCCGGCGAGGGGAGUGAAAAAGAACCUGAAACCGUGUACGUACAAGCAGUGGGAGCACAGAGCAAUCUGUGUGACUGCGUACCUUUUGUAUAAUGGGUCAGCGACUUAUAUUCUGUAGCAAGGUUAACCGAAUAGGGGAGCCGAAGGGAAACCGAGUCUUAACUGGGCGUUAAGUUGCAGGGUAUAGACCCGAAACCCGGUGAUCUAGCCAUGGGCAGGUUGAAGGUUGGGUAACACUAACUGGAGGACCGAACCGACUAAUGUUGAAAAAUUAGCGGAUGACUUGUGGCUGGGGGUGAAAGGCCAAUCAAACCGGGAGAUAGCUGGUUCUCCCCGAAAGCUAUUUAGGUAGCGCCUCGUGAAUUCAUCUCCGGGGGUAGAGCACUGUUUCGGCAAGGGGGUCAUCCCGACUUACCAACCCGAUGCAAACUGCGAAUACCGGAGAAUGUUAUCACGGGAGACACACGGCGGGUGCUAACGUCCGUCGUGAAGAGGGAAACAACCCAGACCGCCAGCUAAGGUCCCAAAGUCAUGGUUAAGUGGGAAACGAUGUGGGAAGGCCCAGACAGCCAGGAUGUUGGCUUAGAAGCAGCCAUCAUUUAAAGAAAGCGUAAUAGCUCACUGGUCGAGUCGGCCUGCGCGGAAGAUGUAACGGGGCUAAACCAUGCACCGAAGCUGCGGCAGCGACGCUUAUGCGUUGUUGGGUAGGGGAGCGUUCUGUAAGCCUGUGAAGGUGUGCUGUGAGGCAUGCUGGAGGUAUCAGAAGUGCGAAUGCUGACAUAAGUAACGAUAAAGCGGGUGAAAAGCCCGCUCGCCGGAAGACCAAGGGUUCCUGUCCAACGUUAAUCGGGGCAGGGUGAGUCGACCCCUAAGGCGAGGCCGAAAGGCGUAGUCGAUGGGAAACAGGUUAAUAUUCCUGUACUUGGUGUUACUGCGAAGGGGGGACGGAGAAGGCUAUGUUGGCCGGGCGACGGUUGUCCCGGUUUAAGCGUGUAGGCUGGUUUUCCAGGCAAAUCCGGAAAAUCAAGGCUGAGGCGUGAUGACGAGGCACUACGGUGCUGAAGCAACAAAUGCCCUGCUUCCAGGAAAAGCCUCUAAGCAUCAGGUAACAUCAAAUCGUACCCCAAACCGACACAGGUGGUCAGGUAGAGAAUACCAAGGCGCUUGAGAGAACUCGGGUGAAGGAACUAGGCAAAAUGGUGCCGUAACUUCGGGAGAAGGCACGCUGAUAUGUAGGUGAAGUCCCUCGCGGAUGGAGCUGAAAUCAGUCGAAGAUACCAGCUGGCUGCAACUGUUUAUUAAAAACACAGCACUGUGCAAACACGAAAGUGGACGUAUACGGUGUGACGCCUGCCCGGUGCCGGAAGGUUAAUUGAUGGGGUUAGCGCAAGCGAAGCUCUUGAUCGAAGCCCCGGUAAACGGCGGCCGUAACUAUAACGGUCCUAAGGUAGCGAAAUUCCUUGUCGGGUAAGUUCCGACCUGCACGAAUGGCGUAAUGAUGGCCAGGCUGUCUCCACCCGAGACUCAGUGAAAUUGAACUCGCUGUGAAGAUGCAGUGUACCCGCGGCAAGACGGAAAGACCCCGUGAACCUUUACUAUAGCUUGACACUGAACAUUGAGCCUUGAUGUGUAGGAUAGGUGGGAGGCUUUGAAGUGUGGACGCCAGUCUGCAUGGAGCCGACCUUGAAAUACCACCCUUUAAUGUUUGAUGUUCUAACGUUGACCCGUAAUCCGGGUUGCGGACAGUGUCUGGUGGGUAGUUUGACUGGGGCGGUCUCCUCCUAAAGAGUAACGGAGGAGCACGAAGGUUGGCUAAUCCUGGUCGGACAUCAGGAGGUUAGUGCAAUGGCAUAAGCCAGCUUGACUGCGAGCGUGACGGCGCGAGCAGGUGCGAAAGCAGGUCAUAGUGAUCCGGUGGUUCUGAAUGGAAGGGCCAUCGCUCAACGGAUAAAAGGUACUCCGGGGAUAACAGGCUGAUACCGCCCAAGAGUUCAUAUCGACGGCGGUGUUUGGCACCUCGAUGUCGGCUCAUCACAUCCUGGGGCUGAAGUAGGUCCCAAGGGUAUGGCUGUUCGCCAUUUAAAGUGGUACGCGAGCUGGGUUUAGAACGUCGUGAGACAGUUCGGUCCCUAUCUGCCGUGGGCGCUGGAGAAUUGAGGGGGGCUGCUCCUAGUACGAGAGGACCGGAGUGGACGCAUCACUGGUGUUCGGGUUGUCAUGCCAAUGGCACUGCCCGGUAGCUAAAUGCGGAAGAGAUAAGUGCUGAAAGCAUCUAAGCACGAAACUUGCCCCGAGAUGAGUUCUCCCUGACUCCUUGAGAGUCCUGAAGGAACGUUGAAGACGACGACGUUGAUAGGCCGGGUGUGUAAGCGCAGCGAUGCGUUGAGCUAACCGGUACUAAUGAACCGUGAGGCUUAACCUUACAACGCCGAAG
rnacentral:rRNA from 2 species